rnacentral:rRNA from 1 species
AGUGAACGCUGGCGGUAGGCCUAACACAUGCAAGUCGAACGGCAGCACAGUAAGGGCUUGCUCUUACGGGUGGCGAGUGGCGGACGGGUGAGGUAUACAUCGGAAUCUCCUUUUUCGUGGGGGAUCACGUAGGGACACUUACGCUAAUACCGCAUACUACCUACGGGUAAAAGCAGGGGCUCUUCGGACCUUGCCCGAUGGAAUGCGCCGAUGUCGGAUUAGCUAGUUGGCGGGGUAAAGGCCCACCAAGGCGACGAUCCGUAGCUGGUCUGAGAGGAUGACCAGCCACACUGGAACUGAGACACGGUCCAGACUCCUACGGGAGGCAGCAGUGGGGAAUAUUGGACAAUGGGCGCAAGCCUGAUCCAGCCAUACCGCGUGGGUGAAGAAGGCCUUCGGGUUGUAAAGCCCUUUUGUUGGGAAAGAAAAGCAGCAGGUUAAUACCCCGCUGUUCUGACGGUACCCAAAGAAUAAGCACCGGCUAACUUCGUG